GACGUAGGAGGCGAGCGUUAUCCGGAUUCACUGGGCGUAAAGCGCAUGUAGGCGGUUGCACAAGUCCGUUGUUAAAGCCCCUGGCUCAACUGGGGGAGGUCAAUGGAGACUGUGCGACUUGAGGGCAAUAGAGGCACGUGGAACUCCCGGUGUAGCGGUGGAAUGCGUAGAGAUCGGGAAGAACACCGGUGGCGAAGGCGGCCUGCUGGGCAGUUGCUGACACUGAGGCGCGACAGCGUGGGGAGCAAACAGG
rnacentral:rRNA from 1 species